rnacentral:rRNA from 1 species
AGCGAACGCUGGCGGCAGGCUUAACACAUGCAAGUCGAGCGCCCGUAGCAAUACGGGAGCGGCAGACGGGUGAGUAACACGUGGGAACAUGCCCUUUGGUUCGGAAUAACUCAGGGAAACUUGAGCUAAUACCGGAUAAGCCCUUACGGGAAAGAUUUAUCGCCAAAGGAUUGGCCCGCGUCUGAUUAGCUAGUUGGUGGGGUAAUGGCCCACCAAGGCUACGAUCAGUAGCUGCUGAGAGGAUGAUCAGCCACAUUGGGACUGAGACACGGCCCAAACUCCUACGGGAGGCAGCAGUGGGGAAUAUUGGACAAUGGGGGAAACCCUGAUCCAGCCAUGCCGCGUGAGUGAUGAAGGCCCUAGGGUUGUAAAGCUCUUUCGGUGGGAAGAUAAUGACGGUACCCACAGAAGAAG